GGAGAGGUGGUCGAGUGGUUUAAGGCUCUGGUCUUGAAAACCAGCGAGGCUAAUCACCUCCGUGGGUUCGAAUCCCACCCUCUCCGCCA
rnacentral:tRNA from 1 species